GUGCUUGCUUCGUCAGCACUAAAAAUUGGAACGAUGCAGAGAAGAUUAGCAUGGCCCCUGCGCAAGGAUGACACGUAAAUUCGGGAAGCAUUCCAUAUAUAG
rnacentral:snRNA from 1 species